UGUUCCAGAGCUUAUUCAUGGUUUGUUGUUGCUCAAUUUGUGUUGUCUUGAUUGCAUCAUAGCUGUAAUAGAGUAAGGCAUAUGAAUAUUAUCCAGAUUCCAAUCAAAUCAAGAUAAAGUAAUUUCCAUUAGUUAGAUUUUUGGGUCUAAGAGAUCUCUAAACUUCGGUUCAGAUUCCCCUUUUCCCUUUCAAAGGAGAAAAAUACGUUGGAUCCUCUACCUGCAUUAUUUUAUCUUGGUAUAUAUGUAUAUAUACAAUCUACACUCAGUGUGCAUAGCAAUUUCAUUGGGGUUCUGAAUGUCAGUUAUCAUGAGUGCUUAAUCAGGUAUGGUGCAGUGCUGAACUAGAAAAUUUGACAUAAAAGACUAGUCACCACGGUACCGAAUGUUAAAACACUUGAUACUGAACUUGGCUAAAGCCUAGACAAUUUGACAGAUUUUUCGUGCUCAACUGUGGCGCUGAAUGGAAUCAAGGUCCUGGACGAGACAUUGGACAUGGUUCUUGCAACAAAACAGUAAAAGCACUGUAACGUUGCAUUCCAAACACCAACCAUGUAGAGUUCUGCUGACUUUGUCUGAUCUACAUGUAAAUCACACAUCUACAUGCCGAAUUCCUCGAAUAUAGUGAGGUACUUAAUAAAUAAUCGGAGUCCCGAAUGCAUUUUUGUGGAGGGUGCUUAACAAGGUAUAUGAUGGUACUGAAUCAUAUGGUUUAACCCAUGGGUUCUUAAUGCCCUGGUGCUGAAACUUUGAACAAUUGGUACCGAACAGCAAAGGCUUUAGGGUUACCUAUGUUCGAACACGUGGUACCAAAUUUUUAUUCGCUGAGGUACUUUAAUUUGUCACAUGAGGUGCUUCAAGUUCCAUCUUUUGUGCGAGUAUUUUUAUAGGGACUUAAACACUGUCAGAUUUAUAACAAUUUCCAGGUUAUAAGUUUGGGUUUUGUAACCUUUGUGAGGUGAUGAGCCAUUAAUCUAGUACAGACUGCAUUUCUACAAGAUUAUUAUUAGUAAUUUUGUAGGUAGAACAACCUGAUCUAGUCUAUUAAAUAGUGGUACAGAAUGAGUAUAUUUCCAGAGUCUGCCUGUUUGCAACCUAUAUAUACUACUAUGUCCUUUUUUAGUGAAGUUUUUUAUUUCUUCAAUGAUAUGUGUGCAGUUUCUUAACUCAUUAAGCACCUUCAGAACAUAGGCUGGACAUCCUGUUUGAAUUUGUUAAGUACCUAGCGAAAGCCUACAAGUACUUAAUUAAAGGCCUAGAGGGGUGCCGAAUGCUUGCAGCCAGUUCUUCAUCACAGGAAUUGUACUAAAUUGGGAUAGCUUAGAGCCUCUUAAAUAAACAUUUGGUACUUCAUAUAUAUGAAGUAGGUGCUGAACUAAAACUGGGUGCAGAGUGGAUCUUACUAUUGGUACUUGAUAUAUAUGAAGUUGCUUGAGGUUCCAAGCUUGAGUUAUUUUCAAUUACAAUGUCGUUUAUCCUCUAGUACUUAAUAAAUCCAAACAAGGUACUCCAUUCGCAUCACACAGGUUGCUUAAAGAGGAUGGGUUAGGUGCUGAACCAUGAAGCGCGUCCAUCGGGCUUGUUGUUUUUGACAUAUUGUGUUAGGUGCUGAAACGAGAAGCAGGUAGUCAGAUAGAUGGCAAUCUUGCUGUGCUUUGAUCGAAAGAAGAUUGAUGCAGCCAUUGUCGCAGUCGCAGAAAUGUAAUCAAGGUACUUCACAAUCUCAACCGAGGUGCCAGUUAUAUUUAUAAGAGGGUGCUUGAAAUUUUUUGUCGUUGUGCCGGAAUCUUCAUCUUCGGGUACCGAAUGUCUACUAAUCGAGGAACAGUAUAAUUAUAUUCAUGAUACUGGAAUUAUUCCGGUAUCGAUUCUAUUUAUCUGCCGGUAGCAAAUGUAUAGUAAUCAAGGCAUGUCAUAAUUAGAACUGUGGUACCAGAAUUUUCUAGGUACUGAUUCUAUUUGUACGUGGGUGCCGAAUGGAAGUAAAUUCAAAUUGCGAGUUGCAA